AUGCCGUUACAGAAUCACCCACCGCAACAGGACCAAGCGGCGUGGUAACGGGCAACAGCGGCACAAGGAGGAAUGGACUUGGGAUGAUGUGUUGGACGGCAAGGGUUGCUACACAUGGGAGGAGAUCCUGGCGGGAAAGGAUCGCCUUCCAUGGGAACAGGUGGAGGCAGCGAGGAGAGCAGAGGCAGCCGGAGAGAGGAGCCGGCGAUAUGAGAGAACACGGUUGGCAAGGAAGCCCGGGAGUCAGCCCCAAAAAUUUCUUGGGGGGGGGCUAACAGGGAGUAUGGCUACGCCAGGUAGGAGACCUGAGCCAACUUCCUGUGGUUACCGGGGGGCUAGAGAGACCGGGCAGGCACCGUGUUAUGCUGUGGAGCGCACGGUGUCCCCAGUGCGGGUGCACAGCCCGGUGCGGUACAUUCCAGCUCCGCGUAUCGGCCGGGCUAGAGUGGGCAUCGAGCCAAGUGCCAUGAAGCCGGCUCUACGCAUCUGGUCUCCAGUGCGUCUCCUUGGGCCGGCUUACAUGUCACCAGCCUUGCGCACGGUGUCCCCGGUUCGCCUGCAUAGCCCAGUGCGGGCUAUUCCACCUCGCCGCACUGGCAGGGCGACCGGGACCAUUCAACCGGGUAAGGUUGGGCAGGCUCGGUGCUCAAGAGCUCCAGUGCGCCUGCACGGCCCGGUCUAUCCGUCACCACCUCCACGCACCAGCCCUCCGGUGGCAGCUCCCCGUACCAGGCUGUCUCUCCGGCCCAUCCUUGCAGGGGCUCUCUCCUCUCCAGCGCUGCCGGAGUCUCCCGCCUCUCCGGCGCUACCAGAGCCUUCCUCCUCUCCAGCGCUGCCGGAGUCUCCCGCCUGUUCGGCGUUAGGAGAGCUACUCAGCCCAGCGUUGCCGGAGCUUCCCGUCUGCCCAGCGCCGCCAGCGCCGCCCGUCUGCCCAACGCCGCCAGCGCCGCCCGUCUGCCCAGCGCCGCCAGUGCCGCCCGUCUGCCCAGUGCCGCCCGUCUGCCCAGUGCCGCCCAUCUGCCCAGCGCCGCCAGUGCCGCCCGUCUGCCCAGCGCCGCCAGUGCCGCCCGUCUGCCCAGCGCCGCCAGUGCCGCCCGUCUGCCCAGCGCCGCCAGUGCCGCCCGUCUGCCCAGCGCCGCCAGUGCCGCCCGUCUGCCAGGAGCCGCCAAUGCCGCCCGUCAGCCAGGGGCCGCCAGUGCCGCCCGUCAGCCAGGGGCCGCCAGUGCCGCCAGUCAGCCAGGGGCCGCCAGUGCCGCCAGUCAGCCCAGCGCCAGCGCCGCCAGUCAACCAGGGGCCGCCAGUGCCGCCAGUCAGCCAGGGGCCGCCAGUGCCGCCAGUCAGCCAGGGGCCGCCAGUGCCGC
rnacentral:lncRNA from 1 species